rnacentral:rRNA from 1 species
AUUGAACGCUGGCGGCAGGCCUAACACAUGCAAGUCGAGCGGAGCGGCGGACGGGUGAGUAAUGCCUAGGUAUCUGCCUGGUAGAGGGGGAUAACGUCCGGUAACGGGCGCUAAUACCGCAUACUAUCUGCUGUGCCUAGGUCGGAUUAGCUAGUUGGUAGGGUAAAGGCCUACCAAGGCGACGAUCCGUAACUGGUCUGCGAGGGUGAUCAGUCAAACUGGAACUGAGACACGGUCCAGACUCCUACGGGAGGCAGCAGUGGGGAAUAUUGGGCAAUGGGCGAAAGCCUGAUCCAGCCAUGCCGCGUGUGUGAAGAAGGUCUUCGGAUUGUAAAGCACUUUAAGUUGGGAAGCGUUACCAACAGAAUAAGCACCGGCUAACUUCGUGCCAGCAGCCGCGGUAAUUC